rnacentral:sRNA from 1 species
GUGCUGAAUGUGGAGAGGCAAAUAAAACGGACGCACAAACCUUGACCUCCUGGAGUGAUUAUGAUCAAGAUUAUGAUCAGUGCAACAGACAGUAAUCCAAGAAGCAAACAAGUGUGAAAACAGAGCUGCAGAGGUGACACUUGGAUGUCCCCCUGGCCAGGUGGUGACUAGAGGUCAGUUCUCUUCUCUAGUUGAGUGGUUGUCCAGGUUCCUGGGCUCUUUCCGCCCUGACCUACAGGCCUGACAGAGCCGUCAAAACAUGAGAGCCCUCUUUCUAAACAUCUCACUUCUUGGAAAAAAUAGAAUGAAUCAACCUUGUCCUAUGUUAGGCAGCUGGAGGCAAGAGUAAGACAGCUGGAGGAAGAAAAUCGCAUGCUGCCCCAGGUUGUGUGGAGGAAACUUGGAGAUGCUGCAGGUUCGUGUCCUGGAAUUAGGCAACAUUUGUCAGGAAACCAGUACAAAGGACCAAUGUGAGAUGCGCUCUUUUUCAAACAGGAGACCACUACUGCCAAAAAGUGAUAGAAGACAAGAAGAAGAAAAAGGAAACAGUGUGUUUCCACAAACCUGGACUCAUGGAAUAACAUGGAGUAAUUGUACAUUGCACAUAUCUCCCCUCUAAAACCUGUAGUACAACUUCUCCCCUCAAGCUGAUAUUCUGUGUCUCUCACCUCAAUGUCCACAACAGUCAAUCUCAAACAAGGUAGCUUUGAAAAUCUCAAACAGAGUAGCUUUGAAAAUCACCAUUUUGGUACCAGUGUUUUCAUUAGAACUAAGUGUUUUUAACUACCCAGAUAUAAUAUUGUAAUUGGGAAACCUGCAUAGUUUUAAGAGUCCAGUGGAGCCUCAGUGUUUUGAAUAGAGAUGACUCAUUACACAUAAUGGUGGGAGUUUUCUACCAUGUCAUAUUGAAGAUAUGAAGAGGUAUUUUCCAGCUUCCCAAGUUUGAGAGUUGGGCAUUUACCUCUUAUACUUCAGUCAACAAACAAACUACUAAUUCCUGAUGCACAAUUAAUUUGGAUGCAAGAUAAGAUUAAGUUUCUGGAGUUUUAUUUUGACUUCUGAGGUGCUAAAAAAUACCAUGUAAAUUCUCCCUACCAGCUAGAAGGGUAGCAAGACUUUGUAGAGUGCUUCUCAGAGAGUACCAUUUACUUCAAUUGAUCAAUAUAAAUAUAUCUUUUUUUUUCAUCUUAAUGAGUUUCUCAUAAAGACACAUCUUGGGGCAUACCAACCUUCAUAUUCAUUCAGUGUAUCCAUUGGUGUUAAUAUUAACAAUUUCAAUUAAAAACAAGCAAACAUAAUUUUUCUAAGUGUUUCGAGCUGUGAGAUGUCAAUUUCUACAAUUUAGUUUCUAGACAUGCUGUAUAUUUAAUAAACUUUAUGUAAACUUUAAAAUAUUGCACUGCAUUUAUGAAAAAGGCUUUCUUUGCCUACUGCAGCUAUCUAACAUUUUAUGAAACUGACGCAUGUCCUUCAUUAUUGAGGCUAAAAGCUCUUGUUCAGAUUGCUUGAGGUUUGAAAAAGAGGUGUGCUAGCUUUGCUUAGUUUAUUUCUUAUUUUUGGUAUACAUAUACAUAUAUAUAAUAUUAGAAUGUGUGUACUGGAAAUGCUAUGAUAGGUAUUUUGUGUUAAUCCAAAUGCAAUGAUAGUUUCUUGUAUGAAUGUGCAAGAGGCCUGUGACCGAAUGCUACGUUUUUAUGGUAGUUUAAGAUUAUAAAAGUAGAAAUGCAACAACUCCCAGUUUUUGGAUAGGUUCUAAGUUUCUGAGAUUUGAUUCAUAGCAGAUAUUCUCUGUUGUUGUUGUUGUUUUAGAUGGGCUCAUUACAUAAUGAGUUAAUUGUCACUAGUAGGAGACUGUGAAGGAAUUUUGUUAUACUUUCAAAAAUGUUACUGUGAUGAAAAAUCAUCCCUCUAUUUUCGGAAAAUAUUUAUGAAUUAAUUUACUAUAGAAUUAUCUCUCUAAUUAUCAUAAUUGGGUUACAAUUUAAGCUCCCCUUUUAAAUGUUAUAUUUUAAAAUGUUAUUACUCUAUAAAAGAAAAUUGCUUGCUAUAUUUACACCUUCUUUCCUAUGAAAGCUUUCAUCCUUAAGUUGUUGUAUUCCUACACUCCGAAGACGUUUAAAAUAAGCUUUUGUGCCUGCAGCAGAGCCUGCAGAAGCUAAUACAAGGGACACUGGUCUUUUGACAAAAUAAACUUGUGUAAAUUUUGAUACUGUAUUAAAACUAUUUUUUUAAAGUUCUGCAUAAAAUUGAGUAUUAAGUAUAUGUGUUCAUCUUAGCAAUGGUAAUAAAUUAUUUAAUCUC